AUGAACGCUGGCGGCGUGCCUAAUACAUGCAAGUCGAGCGAACAGACGAGGAGCUUGCUCCUCUGACGUUAGCGGCGGCCGGGUGAGUAACACGUGGAUAACCUACCUAUAAGACUGGGAUAACUUCGGGAAACCGGAGCUAAUACCGGAUAAUAUAUUGAACCGCAUGGUUCAAUAGUGAAAGACGGUUUUGCUGUCACUUAUAGAUGGAUCCGCGCCGCAUUAGCUAGUUGGUAAGGUAACGGCUUACCAAGGCAACGAUGCGUAGCCGACCUGAGAGGGUGAUCGGCCACACUGGAACUGAGACACGGUCCAGACUCCUACGGGAGGCAGCAGUAGGGAAUCUUCCGCAAUGGGCGAAGGCCUGACGGAGCAACGCCGCGUGAGUGAUGAAGGUCUUCGGAUCGUAAAACUCUGUUAUUAGGGAAGAACAAAUGUGUAAGUAACUAUGCACGUCUUGACGGUACCUAAUCAGAAAGCCACGGCUAACUACGUG
rnacentral:rRNA from 1 species